CCGCUUUCAUUUCGGCCAUUUUAAAUUCUGCAGCUUUGGGGUGAGGUGUUUAGGCGAGCUUUGCUAGUUGAAACAAUUGUGAAGUGAGAUUUUCGAAAUUGGGUUAUUUCGAAUGUGUGUUCCUGUUGUUCCACUUGUUCCAGACUCUGCCAGAAGAAAAACUCUGUUGAGUAUGAUGACGCCAGAUCCCAGCCAUGAAGGACUGCUUCAUUCAGGUUUGAUUUAUACGGUAGGCCAUAAGUUUUCAGAAAUAGGUACAUAGGUCGCGUUGGAUCUCAUCGAUGCGCAGGUUGAUGCCGAAUCGCACGAACUUUUUAAGGUAAUGAGCAUUAUAUCUACCACGUACUUACUAGAGUAUACUGAUCUACGUUCUUAACAAAUGUUGUAGUUUAGUAGUUGGCUGUAUCUUAAAUUAUUAACUCAAUUAUGUUCUAAAUUUCUGAAAAUUUAUGGCCACAUUCACAUUUUUACCGUAAAUUGGUAUUUGAUCUAGAUCGAAAUAUGUGAUAAUAAAAAAAAUAUGAAUUUUGAUCAAUCAAUUGUUUUAUCUGUGAUAGUUUGAAUGUAAAUAUUGUGAUAAAAAUUUUGUAAAUACCUAAUAAAAAUAAUGUUUGAAAUCACUUCUGAAUCAUUGUGUAUUUGAAGUCCUAUCCAAUACUUAAUAUUUUUUGAUUUUACAUGUUGGUGUGGUUGCAAUGGAAGUUGGAGCAACUUUUUCCUAUUUCAUCGAUCUUUAUUCCCCCGAUACAACUAAUGCGCAUGAGGAGCAAUCUAGAGCUGACUGCUGUGUUGAGGUUGUCGUUCAGGGUGAGAGGUUGCGUGUGAAGAACUUGCAACGUUGAAUUGUUGAAGAUGUGUUUGACCGCUUGGAGAACUUAGGAAAAACAGGUUUCAAACUUAUUUUGGAAAUCCCUUGGUAUCCGCCAGGAACAGUAAUGUAAUAAGGUUGGCAGAAUGUUCAAUUGCCGACUGAAAAGCAGAGCACAUAGAUAGAUAAUCGAUUUUACCUUAACUUAGUCACGAGAUAGCAGAGGAGUUAGCCACUACUGAAAAUCCUUUGGGGAGUCCGCCACUGGUGACAUACUCUAAUCGUUGAGGCGUCAUACACCCGCUGAACGAGAAAUAUAGCUGAAACCAUUCAUUCCGUUAGCAGGAGGGGAAUCUACUUCUUCCUCAAUGUAACCACGUUUACGCUCUUUUUACUCAAACUUUCAAGUCUCGGUAUCUUGGAUUCAUCAUGAAAAACAUCUCUGAUGAAACGCACUCGAUGUUGUUUUGAGAAUGCUUCAUCUAUAAAUCCACAAAGAGACCAGUUGCACAUUUUGAUGAAAUGGAACACGCCUUUUUGUGAUGCAAAAAUGCAUGGCUAUGAACAUAUGGAUUGCUAUUUUUUUCAGAAAUAGUUAUAGACGAAGCUUAUUCCAAUACAACACACACAGCUGAUUUUUUAGAAUAAAAGCAAUGAAAUAACACAUAAGGAAGAAUAGUUAUAAAGAUGCUUGCAAGAACAUACCAAAAAGUAAUCGCCUUACACUUGGAUAUGCAUUUAACCAUUUCCAUAAUCCCCUAAAGAAACAGGAUUUUUCUACAGCACUAAUAGCACUGAUCCUCUCAUCACGUCACGAGAAAUAUCCCAUUAAUUCCAACUGGUCUAAACUGUAACUUAUCGACCUAAACCCAUGUAUAAGCAAUGUGGACGAAUCCGGACAAAAAUCCAGCACUCUCAUUACUCGCAGGUAACAUAUUCAUCCUUGAAAUUAGAGGAUUACCAUUAUUUUCAAGGCUAUCUACUACUAGUACUUCGAAAAUCUCUCUGGUCUCGUUCCUUUGAAAAUCGUCUACCAAGUGAUAUUUUUAUGCCGCAAUGAGCCUGGAUUAUCGAGCACAUUCCUAACGUAUGAAAAUCCUACUCGAACUGAAGAAUGAAGAAAUGAAAAUUUUUAUGGGUGCCAUUGAUCGUGAACUAGGUAACAAAAACACGUAGAAGUUGGCUUCAGUUUUAGAUAUUUUUCCGUAUGGAAACAGCAGUUGACGCAGAGACUCCUCUGUGAGAAAAAAGGAAUUCAAUUCGGCUACCUUAUCUUGGACAAGAAAUCUAUAAGUUUGUGGAGACGAGGACACUCGAAACCUUCUGGGUUGAACUACCUGGAGAAGAAUUUGACGUGAAAUAACUACCCAUUCCGAAAGGUUAGUAUUAUUACGCAAGUCUUAUUGCAGAUAAAUUGAGAAGUAAGCGGAGAGCACAAUAAUCCCUCAUAUCUUUGAACUGGCCUAUUUCCUUGAAAUAUCACGAAGAAAGAAUCAAAAGUCUGUAUCAUCUCGGUGAUGUGAGGUAGUUAAAAAAAAAUUCUUUUAGGUUCUAUUCCAAUCUGGCAGAAAGUUGUGCUUAAGUUGCAUUUAAUGUUAGGGUACUCUGGAUUCAUUAUCUAAAGGCUUGUAAUUUUGGUAGAAAUAACUCUGAAAUUAUGUAACAUUGCCUGGAAAUUAUUUUGGAUAUUUUCAAUCAAGCAUGAGUGAGUGAUUAACAGUACUUCAUUGAUAAGGUGAAUUUCAGAAGUCUAAUGCGGAUGAGCAUUUUUGCCUGCUGCAAUUGUUUUCAGCUAUGUUCUAGAAUCGUUGUCGUUUCUUUUGUGGAACGAAAUGCCUGUCACUGUUGAUGUUAUUAGCACAAGAAUCAAUUUGCUAUGAACAUUUCAUUUGGAACUUGCACAGAGUGGAUGAAUAGGAAAAACUUGGUGAAACUAACUUACUGCACGUGGUGAAUGCAUUAGAAUGGAACAUCCCGUGUUAUCCAGUAUCCUAACGAGUACAAAGAAUUGAGUGAGGGUUCCCCUAAUGCUUUUUUGUAGCUCCAUAAUAAUAUUAGUUAAAUAAUUCGAGAUAACCUACAGGCUAGUUGUGAAUAGAGUGAAUGGAAUCCAGAUUUUAGUUCUUUUUGAUGUCGUCUCUUGAUCGUUAUUGUCUGAGAUGAUUCAUACAGAAACUAGAGAAUCGUGAGUACCUUGUUUUUGAACUCUUGAGGUUCCGUGGGAACCUUGUCGCUUCAAACAUGCCUAGUAAAUCUGAUACAGAUAACCAUAAACCCUUCAAACCUGACCUGAUCGAGACAAUAUGACUUGAUAUGUACAGAAGAAUUGGAAGGAUAUAGGAUGGCGAUUUGUUAUGUUUGGCGACAAGUCCAGGAAGUAACGCACCCAAAGAAUUUCAUCGAACAUUUCCAUAAUUGAAAACGGUUUUGGAGCUAAUGAUACAGAUUUAUCCGGAACAAGAAAUCUAUAUAGGUAAUUUUUUUUCUCUUCGGAUUGAAUCUUUUUCAAUUUUUAAAUUUCUGAGGUUCCCUGGGAACCUUUUCGCUUCAAAUAUGCCUAGUUAAUCUGAUUCAGAUAAGCAUAAACCCUUUGAACCUGACCUGUUUUUCAUCGAGACAAUAUGACGUGAAAUGUAUAGAAUUGGAAAGGAUAGAAGAUUUGUCCUAUUUGGCGACAUGUCCAGGAAGUAACACAUUCAAAGAAUUUCAUCGAACAUUUCCAUAAUUGAAAACGUUUUUGGGAGAAAAUGACUUGUUCAGAGCAACAAAUCUAUGUAGGUAAUUUUUUUCCUUUGGAUUAAAUCUUUUUCAGAAUUUAAAUCGAUUUAUUGAGAACAAGAGAACAUAAUUCUUGAUGAGGAGGUCCUGAACUCGCUUAUGGUUGUUAGUAUCAUUUCGUAACUACAAAGUUUUAAUUUUAUACCGACAACGCAUGAAAACAUUUCCUGACCUUUUUUGGGAUUUUUAAGAGUAUGUAGAGAACGCAAUCCACCUGGUUGAGUGAGUACUUGAAAUUAUGAUUGAUCAGUAAAAACAUAAUGGAUUGGUUAUUAGAUUAUUCUUGUAAUUUAAAAGUCCUAGAAUACGAAUAUUGUAGACGAUUUUGUAGCUUCCUCAAUAACAUUUUAUUCGUAUCACAAAUUCCAUAGGAACAAAUUCAAGAUAUCUUAUAGGGUGAUUGGAAUCCAGAUUUUAGAUCUUUUCUUCUGCCAUCAAUUGAUCUAUCUUUUCGGAGACCUUCAUAAAGAAACUGUAAGAUCGUGAGUACCUUGUUUUUUUCGCUCCUGAGGUUCUCUAGGAACCUCAACUUCAAAUACGCCUAGUUUGUCUGAUACAGAU